rnacentral:rRNA from 1 species
CUACGUAGGGCGGUAGCGUUAUCCAGAAUUACUGGGCGUAAAGAGCGUGUAGGCGGCCAGAUAGGUCUGCUGUGAAAACUCGAGGCUCAACCUCGAGCUGUCGGCGGAAACCCUCUGGACUAGAGUCCGGAAGAGGAGAGUGGAAUUCCUGGUGUAGCGGUGAAAUGCGCAGAUAUCAGGAAGAACACCUAUGGCGAAGGCAGCUCUCUGGGACGGUACUGACGCUGAGACGCGAAAGCGUGGGAGCGAACAGG